AAUCGUCUUUUUUUUCCUUUUUUUUUUCUCUUCACCGUGACUCUUUUUUUUUCUAUGCGAGAUCGGGAUUUCUGGGUCCAACAAAAAUUAUGACUAGGAUCAGGUCUCGGUUGAGAAAAGGAAACACCAGUUUCAAUAUACCUUUUGUUUAAUGAAAGGAAACACCACCGUUGGUGGUGAAAGAAGAAUAUUGGUAUAAGAUGCAAAAGAGCCACAGUCUUGUUGAUCUUAAACCACCAACACCGACUCGACUCUGUCCAGUUUCUGCUUCUUGUCCUAAAAUCUUGGAACUUAAAGUCACCUGCUAUUCUCCUUUUUGUUUUCAAGGCAUGCACAUCUUGAUGAUCCUGGAAGCAGUGAAUGGGAAGGAGGAGCAAAAGCUGCUGCUGCUGGGGGUAUCACCACAUUGAUUGACAUGCCCUUAAACAGUGAUCCUUCAACUGUAUCUCCUGAAACUUUGAAACUCAAGAUUGAAGCUGCGAAAAAGAGAACACAUGUUGAUGUUGGUUUGGUGCCUGAUAAUGCACUUAAUUCAACUGCUCUUGCAUCUCUCUUAGAUACUGGAGUUCUUGCAAUUUUGGCAAUUUUACCAAAUUAAAGGGCGGUGAGCCGAGAGAAGUUUUGUCUGAGAAAGGAAUCACUGGGACACAUAGUCUUGGAAGAUAGAUUGAAGACAUUGAUCGACUCCAAAAAGGUUAUGCUUUCCAUGAAAGGUUGGUUCACUGGAUGAACUAAAGUGUGGAUUUAGCUCAAAAGUGGUGAAAACACUAAGAGGAGAGGAUGUUAGUUUCGGGUCGUGUGACAUCUUGAGUGAUGAAUAAGUAAGACAAGGGAUCAAGAGUUUCUCAAACUGAUCCACGUUUCCUCAGCUUUAUUGAGUUGAUUGGAGGAUGUGAUAUCUUAUGGAGCUAAGUAACAGUGGUGACCUCAACUUAUCUGAGUAACAACAAUAGUCUCUCCUCUCAUGAGAAGAUUCUUGUUCCGGUAAUAAUAAUAUGUUGAGGUGUUACAGCUUAUGGUUUGUCUGGUUAUUUUUAGGAUUUGAGGAAACUUUUUUUCGCAUAUCAGAUUCAUGAUUUGUUGGCAUGCUCCAUUUUCCAGUUGUACAACAUGUUUUUUUACAUCAAGCUCUA